UACGGAGGGUGCGAGCGUUGUUCGGAAUCACUGGGCGUAAAGGGCGUGUAGGCGGUCCGUUAAGUCUGAUGUGAAAGCCCGGGGCUCACCCCCGGAAGUGCAUUGGAAACUGGCGGACUCGAGUCCCGGAGAGGAGGGUGGAAUUCCUGGUGUAGCGGUGAAAUGCGUAGAUAUCAGGAGGAACACCGGUGGCGAAGGCGGCCCUCUGGACGGUGACUGACGCUAAGACGCGAAAGCGUGGGGAGCAAACAGG
rnacentral:rRNA from 1 species